CCUUAAGGUGGAUCACAUGUACUAGUUACAAUGCUUUCCACCUGGAGUCUGCAGGGUGCUACACGGAACGUGAUCCUUGUGUCAAAUUCAAACAGGAAGGACCUUGGAGCCUUUUUAAACCCCAACCACAACUACCUGCCAGCCAGGUGCUGUUCAGCUCUGUUCUCGGCGUGCUCUCACCAACCCUCCAGCAUACCCUGAGG